UAGCAAGGUGUUUGAUGAAAUGCCUAAGUUAGGGAUUUUACUUUUUUUAUAAUCAAUUUGAGCUGAAAUUAUGGUAUAUUUUGUAGGUUUUAAUUAGUAUCAUCCCCGUCCUCACCGCCGUCGAUCGCUAGCGUCGUCCCCUAGCCGGCACCGUACAACCUCGAUGAGUCGACAAUGGAUGUACGGUGACCGGUGCCAUCCCGAGUUCAUUACUGGCAUGCAUUAUUUUCUCAACGUGGCUGAGGCAAACAGGCAGUCGAAUGGUUUCAUGUAUUGUCCAUGUAGUUCCUGUAAGAAUAUGAAGGAUUACUCUA